rnacentral:rRNA from 1 species
UACGAAGGGGGCUAGCGUUGCUCGGAAUCACUGGGCGUAAAGGGUGCGUAGGCGGUCUUCUAAGUCAGUUGUGAAAUACUUCAGCUUAACUGGAGAGGUGCAAUUGAUACUGGAAGACUUGAGUACUGAUGAGGUAGGCGGAAUUUCCGGUGUAGCGGUGAAAUGCGUAGAGAUCGGAAGGAACGUCAAUGGCGAAGGCAGCCACCUGGCACCAUACUGACGCUGAGGCGCGAAAGCGUGGGGAGCGAACAGG